UACCUCUAUCUCUUCCAGGGUCAGACUGCUCUUCAUGUCAUUAAAAUGGUCAAGAAAGUGAGUCAGCCAUGCCUGGCUACGUUCACUGUCUUCGGGGUCCUCCGUCUUGAGGUAGUACAGUAGUCUCAUUGCUCGGGACUCCACGAGUCGUUGACUUUUUCCAGUCAUUUGACCCAAAACAUUUCCCCCAAAGAAGCCCGCUAAGUAGAUGAGCUGGGUGGGCGUGUUGUGGAUAGGGAAGGUGAGGUCCGACAGGUUCAACGACGAGUUAUGCUGCCAGGAAAACAGCAGAGGGUUGGGCGGCACGCACAGCGUCUUGUACUUGGCACACACCUCUUGGUAUAGAAUCUGCGUUCCAUUUUCCUGGACAACUUUCAGCGCCUGCACCGCCUGGUCCAGCUUGCUCACCUCUUUGAAUAUUUCUGGCUCCAGCAGUGAGUUGGCGAGGGACACCACCAAGAUGGAUGCAAAGUUGGUCUCGGAGCUGGUCCUGGAGGCAGAGAAGCGGUAAGUGUCAUUGGUACUGAAAUGACCCUGCACAAAACGCCGCUCUGCCUUGGCUGGGCUGCCAAUCGGUGUGUACUGCUCCUCCAGGUUCUCCUUUUCCUUGGGUAGGAAAAUGAGACCGGUGCCCAGGGAGGCCGUCAGCAGUGCAGGCCCGAGCAAAAACAGCCAGGGGUUCGCGCCCACUGUGGCGCCAAAGCGUUGGAAGCCCCGCGACAGCGGUGCUUCCAAGCAGUUGGUGUGGCAGCGACGCGGCGGAGGUGCCUCCUGACCCAGCGGUGGCAAGCGCUCCAGUGGCGGCCCGGUGGUCCAGCUAGGGCCCGCCUCAUCAAGUGGCACGGCUUCCAGUUGGCCUUCCAACGGUGCCUCCCGCUGCUCCUCCGCCUCUCCGAGCUCCACCUUGGACGGUGACUCCCCCUGCUCCUCCUCUCCGGGCGCCACCUUGGAGGAGAUCAUGUUGCCCACAGCUGUUCAGAGGAGCUGCUGCAGAGCUGUUUUCACCCCAACGGUUCAGGACCCAGGACCGUUGGUUGCUCCUGUGCCCGGAUGCGGAGGCGACGGUUGGGAGCACGUGGGCGAGGCGCCCUCCUGGUGCAGAUCUGUUCCAGGGUCAGAAGUCUACGAAACAGAAUGAGUUGCUUUCACCACAGCAGAAGAUAAGUUCUUUGGUCAUUUGCUGAAUUACCAUGCCCAUCCUGCAUGUUUCUUCACCCCAAAGUAGGAAAGGCCUAACAGAUUAAAGAUGCUGCUCCCUCCAUUUUUAAAAUAAAUUUAAUGAG
rnacentral:lncRNA from 1 species